rnacentral:rRNA from 1 species
GUGCCAGCCGCCGCGGUAAUACAGAGGGUGCAAGCGUUGUUCGGAAUUACUGGGCGUAAAGCGUGCGUAGUCGGUAUUGAGAGUCGCGGGUGAAAUCCCAGGGCUUAACCCUGGAACUGCCUGCGAGACCUCAGUACUAGAGUGUGAGAGGGGAUAGUGGAAUACCCAGUGUAGCGGUGAAAUGCGUAGAGAUUGGGUGGAACACCGGUGGCGAAGGCGGCUAUCUGGCUCACAACUGACGAUCAGGCACGAAAGCGUGGGGAGCAAACAGGAUUAGAAACCCGUGUAGUCC